UACGAAGGGGGCUAGCGUUGCUCGGAAUCACCGGGCGUAAAGCGCACGUAGGCGGACUCUUAAGUCGGUGGUGAAAUCCUGGAGCUCAACUCCAGAACUGCCUUCGAUACUGAGAGUCUCGAGUCCGAGAGAGGUGAGUGGAACUGCGAGUGUAGAGGUGAAAUUCGUAGAUAUUCGCAAGAACACCAGUGGCGAAGGCGGCUCACUGGCUCGGUACUGACGCUGAGGUGCGAAAGCGUGGGGAGCAAACAGG
rnacentral:rRNA from 1 species